GGGAUUGUCUGGGCUCCUCCAGGAGCAGAGGGGAGAGGGGUCUAUCCAGGCUGCCUGCUUUGAGCAACUGCCUAACUCCUUCCUUAGUCCCUCGGCCCCACUCACCUCCAGACUGCAGUCUCCUUUUUCAUUUUAAAGACAAAACUUCCCAUCGACAAACAGCAUGUUUAUUUGCAGGUUUUGCAGCUAGCAAAUCCUUUGGUACCAGGGAGCGCAGGACCCAGUGGGGGAAGAGUUCAGGCUUGGGCUGAAUGCCCAGGACUCAGCUUUGCAACCAGCCAAGAGCCUGGAGGCCCAACUCCCUGAAAGGGCCUUUUCUGGGUUGCUGUGAUCUGCCUGGUACCCAUAACUGUCUGUGUUUUAUAUUAUGGGCAGACAAACACUCAGAUGACGCAUGGCAGCCCGAGUUACGCUUGUUUGAAAAUGCGUGGCAUUUCAUAAUCCUGCCGGAACACACUCUUCUUGCUGCAUUAGGAUCCAACUGGAAAACAUAAAGAUGAAUUGCUGUAGGCUGGAAAAUCAAUUAGGAGAAAGAGGCUGUACAGGAAGCAUAGUGGCAUCUGCUUCUGGGGAGGCCUCAGGAAGCUUCCAAUCAUGGCGGAAGGCGAAGGCCAAGCAGGCACAUCGCAUGGUGAGAAUGGGAGCAAGGUCGGGGAGAAGGCGCCACACACUUUUAAAUGACCAGAUCUCAUAAGAACUAACCAUCUGAAGACAGCACAAAGUCAUGAGAGGUCUGCCCCCAUAAGCCAGACACUUUCCACCAGGCCCCACCUCCAGCAUUAGGGACUACAGUUCAACAUGAGAUUUGGUGGGGAACAAUAUACAAACUAUAGCCAAUGGAUGGAUCAAAUGAUAUGUAAGAGUCAACUUCUCUGCCUUACUAAGCAGAGCCCGGACAUCCCAGAUGGUUUUUUGGUGAUUUCUAAAAGAGCAGAUUCCUAGAUUCAACCAUCAUUAGGUAACAUUAAAGAAGAGCAUUAGUUAUAUCACCAAGGAGACUUUAGUUAUAAUAUAUGACCUUUUCAUUUUGUGUCAAAUCUGUUUUAUUUGCUGGUAAACAAAAUCACUGUAUAGGAAAUACUUUUUUUAUUAUUGUGCAGUUCUUUUUACAUGUGAAUCCAUAAAGAUCAUUUUUGCAACAGU